GGUGGCUCAGUGGGAGAGCGCUUACCUUGCAUGUAUGAGGCCCUGGGUUCGAUUUCCCAGCACCA
rnacentral:tRNA from 1 species